GGUAAACUUGCUCAGUUGGUAGAGUGCUUGCCUUGCAUGCACAAGGUCCUGGGUUCAAUUCCCAGCACUACCA
rnacentral:tRNA from 1 species